CUCCCGGCUGCCCACCAGGCGUUCGAGCAAAUGCCACCUCGGGUUGCUCGGCCACCGACGGUCGGUCUCGCCUUCUUCACCUCGUCGUCCUCGCACCCUCAGAUCUGCUCGCUCUCGAUUCAUCCGCGGGGUGUGGCGGGCGCAAUGGCGUCCUGCCCGCCCCCGCGGACGCCACGAGCGCGAUUAGCCGUCGAUGGCGCUGCUGACAUCGCGCGUGCCCCCUGGCGGCGCGGACAACAGCUCGACCUCGCGCCGCACUGCCGCAUAAAGGAAUCUGCGGCGUGUGGCCAUGUCGUAGGAUACGAGGAGGCGGCACGCGUUCUCAGACGAUGCUACCCCCUUGCAGUUUUGGUAUGUGAGGUUGACCAAGAGAAUUAUAUUGUUUCCGGCAACCAGAUCUCGCAGUGAACAUGUACAGCCAAUUUGAGGAGCAUAUCAGGGACAACUCAAUUGUUGCGCAUGUGGCAGUAACAUUCUUGCUGCUUCUGUUUACCACAAAUGCACUGUGGCAGCAUCAUUUUAUUUGACAGAAGUUCGGUACACUUACAACUGAUACUGAUAAAGGAUACGUCUACAUAUGGCUGGUGAUCCGUGGUGGAAUCUACUCUAAUUUUUGGACCUACCCCAGUUUACUACAUGAAGGAAGGAAGGAAAUACAAGGAGCCAAGAGCUUGAAUGAUCUUAUGCAUAAGAAAAGGUGUGAAUAGUAUAGUAAAUAAGCAUAAACAUCUUGCAUCAUUGGCCGAUCUUUUGGUGAGUCCAUGGAACAUUUUAGGCCCAGUUUAGCUAACUGCAUGAUACAGUUCUGCAUUCUGACCACUGGGUGAUUCUUACUUUCUGUGUUGCGGUUUGUUUCUUC